rnacentral:lncRNA from 1 species
CAAAUAUGUAAUCUGGAAUAAAAUAAUACAGAAAGUUUAGAAUUGUCUGACAUGAAAGUUAAUGCACAAAAGAGGUUAUGUAAAUUUCUCGUGCAAUGGAAUUUGUCCAGUGUCAUGGUGUUACCCCUCGUUAAGUAUAAAAGUCUGGCUAUACGGAAACAACAUGCUGAAGUCACUGCAAUUCUCAACUGAUGAGGUCACAAAAAUCUGGCAGCUGAAGGCACAAGGUAAAUCCAUUUCCGAAAUUUCACUUACGAUACAGCAAUCUAAACACAGUAUUUAUAAAGUUCUGUCUCGUGGCAAUAAGUAUAAACCGAAAUUCUGAUUUGGAUGGCCAAAGAUUACAACUGCACGUGAUGACAGAAGAAUUAAACGCAUGGCUGCAAAUAGG